rnacentral:rRNA from 1 species
GAUGAACGCUGACAGCAUGCUUAACACAUGCAAGUCAACUUGAACUUCGGUUUGGGUGGCGGACGGGUGAGUCACGCGUAAAGAACUUGCCUCACAGAUAGGGACAACAUUUGGAAACGAAUGCUAAUACCUGAUAUUAUGAUUAUAUGGCAUCGUAUAAUUAUGAAAGCUAUAUGCGCUGUGAGAGAGCUUUGCGUCCCAUUAGCUAGUUGGAGAGGUAACGGCUCACCAAGGCGAUGAUGGGUAGCCGGCCUGAGAGGGUGAUCGGCCACAAGGGGACUGAGACACGGCCCUUACUCCUACGGGAGGCAGCAGUGGGGAAUAUUGGACAAUGGACCAAGAGUCUGAUCCAGCAAUUCUGUGUGCACGAUGAAGUUUUUCGGAAUGUAAAGUGCUUUCAGUUGGGAAGAAAAAAAUGACGGUACCAACAGAAGAAGUGACGGCUAAAUACGUG